AUAGGCAAGAAGGUAGUGCCAGUCCCCUCUACCCUGGCUGCCAGGCUUUGUCCAGGGAUCUGAAACCACUUUGCAGUCGACAUACUCGGAUACCAGCGCUCAGCCCACCUGUGAUUAUGGAUAUGGAACUUGGAACUCUGGGACAAACAGAGGCUACGAGGGCUAUGGCUAUGGCUAUGGCUAUGGCCAGGAUAACACCACCAACUAUGGAAUUAACCAGCGCUUAGAUAUGGUGCCGCAUUUGGAGACAGACAUGAUGCAAGGAGGCGUGUACGGCUCAGGUGGAGAAAGGUAUGACUCUUAUGAGUCCUGCGACUCGAGGGCCGUCCUGAGUGAGCGCGACCUGUACCGGUCAGGCUAUGACUACAGCGAGCUUGACCCUGAGAUGGAAAUGGCCUAUGAGGGCCAAUACGAUGCCUACCGCGACCAGUUCCGCAUGCGUGGCAACGACACCUUCGGUCCCAGGGCACAGGGCUGGGCCCGGGAUGCCCGGAGCGGCCGGCCAAUGGCCUCA
rnacentral:sRNA from 1 species